rnacentral:rRNA from 1 species
GAUGAACGCUGGCGGCGUGCCUAACACAUGCAAGUCGAGCGAAGCACUUUGCUUAGAUUCUUCGGAUGAAGAGGGUUGUGACUGAGCGGCGGACGGGUGAGUAACGCGUGGGUAACCUGCCUCAUACAGGGGGAUAACAGUUAGACAUGACUGCUAAUACCGCAUAAGACCACAGCACCGCAUGGUGCGGGGGUAAAAACUCCGGUGGUAUGAGAUGGACCCGCGUCUGAUUAGCUAGUUGGUAAGGUAACGGCUUACCAAGGCGACGAUCAGUAGCCGACCUGAGAGGGUGACCGGCCACAUUGGGACUGAGACACGGCCCAAACUCCUACGGGAGGCAGCAGUGGGGAAUAUUGCACAAUGGGGGAAACCCUGAUGCAGCGACGCCGCGUGAGCGAAGAAGUAUUUCGGUAUGUAAAGCUCUAUCAGCAGGGAAGAAAAUGACGGUACCUGACUAAGAAGCACCGGCUAAAUACGUGCCAGCAGCCGCGGUAAUACGUAUGGUGCAAGCGUUAUCCGGAUUUACUGGGUGUAAAGGGAGCGUGGACGGAUGGGCAAGUCUGAUGUGAAAACCCGGGGCUCAACCCCGGGACUGCAUUGGAAACUGUUCAUCUAGAGUGCUGGAGAGGUAAGUGGAAUUCCUAGUGUAGCGGUGAAAUGCGUAGAUAUUAGGAGGAACACCAGUGGCGAAGGCGGCUUACUGGACAGUAACUGACGUUGAGGCUCGAAAGCGUGGGGAGCAAACAGG